GGUCUUUGACAUAAUUGAUACAGGCGACAAUAGAAUAACUCACGCAGGUGCAAUGCCUGCAUAGUGAUUAACAAAUAGCUUGCAGGCUUAGACCUAUCGUGCUAAGCACUGAACGGAUAACGACCGACCCCUGGACAUCGCAACGUCCCUGCAAGCAC
rnacentral:sRNA from 12 species